UGGGUCGAUGGUUCGAAUCCAUCCAGACCCACCAGUCAGAAGUCAGGAAUCAGAAGACAGAAGACAGAAUGACGCAGCGGGUCGGGAUUCUCUGAAUUCUGUCCUCUGAAUUCUGGCUCUUGAUCCGGGGCUGUAGCUCAGUUGGGAGAGCACCUGCUUUGCAAGCAGGGGGUCGUCGGUUCGAUCCCGUCCAGCUCCACCAAAUCCUGGGCAGAGGUGAAGCGGAGAAUGCAGAAGCAAGCGUUGGCGUUUGCUUCUGGUUUCUUUGAACCAGUGAUAUCGGUUGUUCUUUAACAAUUGGGAAGAAGUAAAGGUCUUGCUCGGAAGGGCAGGCGAAGGUGCGAGCCUGGGUCUGGCUGGACGAGUGAGAUUGGGUUGGAUUGUAUUGACCCUGUUCAUGCUGUGAGUUCGGUGUGGAUGGGGAGCGCGAACGCCCGUGAUGUUGAGUGAAGGUCAGUGCUCAGUGUUAUGGGGUCAAGCGACUAAGUGCAUGU
rnacentral:tRNA from 1 species